GUGCACGCUGGCGGUAGGCCUAACACAUGCAAGUCGAACGGCAGCACCGUAAGAGCUUGCUCUUACGGGUGGCGAGUGGCGGACGGGUGAGGAAUACAUCGGAAUCUACUUUUUCGUGGGGGAUAACGCAGGGAAACUUACGCUAAUACCGCAUACGACCUACGGGUGAAAGCAGGGGAUCUUCGGACCUUGCGCGAUUGAAUGAGCCGAUGUCGGAUUAGCUAGUUGGCGGGGUAAAGGCCCACCAAGGCGACGAUCCGUAGCUGGUCUGAGAGGAUGAUCAGCCACACUGGAACUGAGACACGGUCCAGACUCCUACGGGAGGCAGCAGUGGGGAAUAUUGGACAAUGGGCGCAAGCCUGAUCCAGCCAUACCGCGUGGGUGAAGAAGGCCUUCGGGUUGUAAAGCCCUUUUGUUGGGAAAGAAAAGCAGCAGGUUAAUACCCCGCUGUUCUGACGGUACCCAAAGAAUAAGCACCGGCUAACUUCGUG
rnacentral:rRNA from 1 species